UCUCUUUUCUUUCACCAGCAGCAGGUAGUCCUCCUCGCACCCCUGCGUUGUAUGCCCCGCUGGUCGGGACAUAAACUGGCGCCCAAUGUGGGGCCCGAGGCACGGAACAGCGCUGUUGGCACCUACUCGGAAGACGCCCCGGCCGGGCACCCCCUGAGCCCAAGAGCUCGCUUGGAGCCCGUGAGCCAUCAGCCCACGGGAUAAGACUCCGCGUUGAUCGUCGCUGGAUUGGCCGCCCCAGCGGACAUCGGAACGGCAAUGAAGCUCUGCCUCUUUAUCCUCCUCAUAUGCUCCUCCUGUAUAUACGCCGGCUUCGGACCCCCGCCAAAUCCGCAAGAACUCAUAAGACUCCUCUAUGGGAACCCCUGUGACUGCGGUGGAGGGAGGAAUUUGCUUAGCUUUGUAGGAACGGUGCUGUUUCUAUGCCAACAAGUCUGGCAUCGUCGGGGACAAGAUCAAAAAAUUACAAGAAGAUCUCAUCAAACGAAGAAAAGAAUUAUUUGAAAACCCACUCUGGACCGGACUUAACGGACUUCUCCCCUACCUUCUCCCUACCUUGGGCCCCCUCCUUUGCCUCCUUCUGCUUAUAACCUUUGGACCCUGGGCAUUUCGCCAUUUUACAGAUCUCAUAAAAAGACAAAUUGAUGCUAUCCUUGCUAAACCUAUCCAAAUUCAUUACCAACGACUGGCAGUAAAAGAUGGUUUUGGUGAAGAUUACUACGGCUCCCUCCCUACGGGGACGACAUGCUAACCAGAGACAUGUCUACCCCCUCCCUUUACAGGAGAGGGGUAUGAGUACCGGGAUGAGUGCAAAACAAAGUA